GGGGGCGACAUGGCUUCGACGGCGGUUGCAAACCCUUUGGUGCAUGUCGAGUGGGUAGCAACACUCGUACUCCAAGUGCUAUAAAUUAUAAUCGCAAAUGACGAUUCGUACGCUUUAGCAGCAUAAACCCUGCUAUCCAUCGACCCGACUCUCUCGUGGGUUUGACUCGAUGGUAACUUACACGAGACAGCAGUAGUGGGUGUCUGAGACUCUACUGUUAAAUAAUUUUGGACUGGCUUGCGGCAUCCUGCCUCGUUGGAUCGUUGUGAGUAAGAUUAAAGACGAGAUCUAAACAUGUAGACCCUUAGGCAGAGUGCUGGCGGACGCGGGUUCGAUUCCCGCCGCUUCCACCA
rnacentral:tmRNA from 2 species